UACGUAGGGUGCGAGCGUUAAUCGGAAUUACUGGGCGUAAAGCGUGCGCAGGCGGUUCGUUGUGUCGGUGGUGAAAUCCCCGGGCUUAACCUGGGAAUGGCCAUGGAAACUGGCGAACUGGAGUGCGGCAGAGGGGGGUGGAAUUCCGCGUGUAGCAGUGAAAUGCGUAGAGAUGCGGAGGAACACCGAUGGCCAAGGCAGCCCCCUGGGCUAGCACUGACGCUCAGGCACGAAAGCGUGGGGAGCAAACAGC
rnacentral:rRNA from 1 species